GGGGGAGCGCCGUAGUUGGAGAGACGGGCGGGUCUGUAAAAUCCGUGCCUAGUGCUGAGUGGGUUCGAUUCCCUCCUCCCCCA
rnacentral:tRNA from 1 species